UGAAGAUGAGCUCGCGGCUGAUUAGCUAGUUGGUGGGGUAAGAGCCUACCAAGGCGACGAUCAGUAGCUGUUCUGAGAGCAAGAUCAGCCACACUGGGACUGAGACACGGCCCAGACUCCUACGGGAGGCAGCAGUGGGGAAUUUACCGCAAUGGGCGAAAGCUGACCGAGCAAUACCGCGUGCGGGAGGAAGGCCCUUGGGUCGUAAACCGCUUUUCUUAGGGAAGAAACUGACGGUACCUAAGGAAUAAGCCUCGGCUAACUCCGUGCCAGCAGCCGCGGUAAUACGGAGGAGGCAAGCGUUAUCCGGAAUUAUAGGGCGUAAAGAGUCCGUAGGUGGUUCUUCAAGUCUGCUGUUAAAGCGUGCAGCUCAACUGCAUAUAGGCACUGGAAACUGUUGAACUAGAGUAUGGAAGGGGUACGGGGAAUUCCCAGUGUAGCGGUGAAAUGCGUAGAGAUUGGGAAGAAC
rnacentral:rRNA from 1 species